GCCUGGGUGGCUCAGUCGGUUGGGCAUCCGACUUCGGCUCAGGUCAUGAUCUCACUGCUCGUGGGUUCAAGCCCCACGUCGGGCU
rnacentral:tRNA from 1 species